rnacentral:rRNA from 1 species
GACGAACGCUGGCGGCGUGCUUAACACAUGCAAGUCGAACGGAAAGGCCCUGCUUUUGUGGGGUGCUCGAGUGGCGAACGGGUGAGUAACACGUGAGUAACCUGCCCUUGACUUUGGGAUAACUUCAGGAAACUGGGGCUAAUACCGGAUAGGAGCUCCUGCUGCAUGGUGGGGGUUGGAAAGUUUCGGCGGUUGGGGAUGGACUCGCGGCUUAUCAGCUUGUUGGUGGGGUAGUGGCUUACCAAGGCUUUGACGGGUAGCCGGCCUGAGAGGGUGACCGGCAACAUUGGGAUUGAGAUACGGCCCAGACUCCUACGGGAGGAAGCAGUGGGGAAUAUUGCACAAUGGGCGGAAGCCUGAUGCAGCAACGCCGCGUGCGGGAUGACGGCCUUCGGGUUGUAACCCGCUUUCGCCUGUGACGAAGCGUGAGUGACGGUAAUGGGUAAAGAAGCACCGGCUAACUACGUG